ACGGCUCAGUAACACGUAGUCAAUCUACCCUAUGGACGGGAAUAACCUCGGGAAACUGAGAAUAAUGCCCGAUAGAACAUUAUGCCUGGAAUGGUUUAUGUUUCAAAUGAUUUAUCGCCAUAGGAUGGGACUGCGGCCUAUCAGUUUGUUGGUGAGGUAAUGGCCCACCAAGACUAUUACAGGUACGGGCUCUGAGAGGAGUAGCCCGGAGAUGGGUACUGAGACACGGACCCAGGCCCUAUGGGGCGCAGCAGGCGAGAAAACUUUGCAAUGUGCGAAAGCACGACAAGGUUAAUCCGAGUGGUUUCUGCUAAAGAAACCUUUUGUCAGUCCUAGAAACACUAACGAAUAAGGGGUGGGCAAGUUCUGGUGUCAGCCGCCGCGGUAAAACCAGCACCUCAAGUGGUCAGGAUGAUUAUUGGGCCUAAAGCAUCCGUAGCCCGYUUUGUAAGUUUUCGGUUAAAUCCAUGCGCUUAACGUAUGGGCUGCCGGGAAUACUGCAUAACUAGGAAGUGGGAGAGGUAGACGGUACUCGGUAGGAAGGGGUAAAAUCCUUUGAUCUAUUGAUGACCACCUGUGGCGAAGGCGGUCUACCAGAACACGUUCGACGGUGAGGGAUGAAAGCUGGGGGAGCAAACCGGAUUAGAUACCCGGGUAGUCCCAGCUGUAAACUAUGCAAACUCAGUGAUGCAUUGGCUUAUGGCCAAUGCAGUGCUGCAGGGAAGCCGUUAAGUUUGCCGCCUGGGAAGUACGUACGCAAGUAUGAAACUUAAAGGAAUUGGCGGGGGAGCAC
rnacentral:rRNA from 1 species